rnacentral:rRNA from 1 species
GAGUUUGAUCAUGGCUCAGGAUUAACGCUGGCGGUAUGCAUGACACAUGCAAGUCGAACGGCGAAGGUUUAUUGGGGAUAAUGAAUUUUUGGAGUGGCGAACGGGUGCGUAAAACGUAAGAAUCUACACUUAGGUCGGGGAUAGCACUUGGAAACGAGUAUUAAAAAACCAUAUGCCGAAAGGGUAAACCACCUUGGGUGGUACCUAGGAAUGAGCUUACGCCUGAUUAGCUAGUUGGUGAAGUAAAGGUUUACCAAGGCCAUGAUCAGUAGCUGGUUUGAGAGAACGGUCAGCCACAUUGAGACUGAGAUACGGCUCAGGCUCCUUUGGGAGGCAGCAGUGAGGAAUUUUCCGCAAUGAGCGAAAGCUUGACGGAGCAAUAUCGCGUGAGAGAAGAAGGACCAAGGUUCGUAAAUCUCUUUUUUAGGGAAUAAAAUUAUAGAAGGUACUUAAAGAACUAAGCAUCGGCUAACUUCGUGCCAGCAGCCGCGGUAAGACGAGGGAUGCAAGCGUUAUCCGAAAUAAUUGGGCGUAAAGGGUUUGUAGGCGGCCUUAAAAGUCUUGUGUUAAAACUCAAGGCUUAACCUUGAAAAUGCAUUAGAUACUCUAAGGCUAGAGUAAGGUAUGGGAAAAGGGAAUUUCUAGUGGAACGGUGAAAUGUGGAGAUAUUAGAAGGAACGCCGACGGCGAAAGCGCUUGACUAGGCCAUUACUGACGCUCAGAAACGAAAGCUAAGGUAGCAAAAAGGAUUAGGUACCCUUGUAGUCUUAGCCGUCAACGAUGGAUAUUAAGCGUUGUUUUUACAGUGCUAUAGCUAACGCGUUAAAUAUCCCGCCCGGGGAGUACGCUCGCAAGGGUGAAACUCAAAGGAAUUGACGGGGGCUCGCACAAGCGGGUAGAGCAUGCUGUUUAAUUCGAUGUAACACGAAGAACCUUACCAAAAUUUGACAGGUUAGAAAAUUCCGUAUGGAAAGGUUAAUAAUGUAAUUAAUUGCUUUGCUAAUCUGAUAUCUAGAGCUUAUUAUUUUACUGAUUUAGAAGACACUAAAUUAGCAAAAUUAGCUCCGAAGAUAGUGAAAUUAGUAAAAUUAGCUCUUACUACUUUUUCCUAUUAAUCGUCUUCAAAUCUAAUCACAGGUGGUGCAUGGCUGUCGUCAGCUCGUGUCGUGAGAUGUUGGGUUAAGUCCCGUAACGAGCGCAACCCUCAUUUUUAAUUGCUGUUAAGACUUAGAAUUAUGAUGUUGUCAGUUUAAAAAACAGGGUUUAAAGAGACUGCCAGUGAAAAUUGGAGGAAGGUGAGGAUGAUGUCAAGUCAGCAUGCCCCUCAUGACAUUUUGGGCUACAGGCGUGCUACAGUGGUUAGGACAAAAAGUUGCAAAAUCUCUAAGUGAAGCUAAUCUUUCAAACCUAACCUGAGUUCGGAUUGUUGAUUGCAACUCAUCGACAUGAAGUUGGAAUCGCUAGUAAUCGCCGGUCAGCUAUACGGUGGUGAAUUUGUCACCGAGCCUUGUACACACCGCCCGUCACACCCUGGAAGUUGAUUUUACCCGAAACCAUUAACUUAUUGAGUUCGCGUCUAAGGCGGAAUUAGUGACUCGGGUGAAGUCGUAACAAGGUAACC